rnacentral:rRNA from 1 species
CCCUUAGAUGUCCUGGGCCGCACGCGCGUUACACUGAUGCAUUCAACGAGCUUAUAACCUUGGCCGAGAGGCCUGGGCAAUCUUGUUAACGUGCAUCGUGAUAGGGAUAGAUUAUUGAAAUUAUUAAUCUUGAACGAGGAAUUCCUAGUAAACGCAGAUCAUCAAUCUGCAUUGAUUACGUCCCUGCCCUUUGUACACACCGCCCGUCGCACCUACCGAUUGGAUGGUCCGGUGAUGCCUCGGGAUUGUGGUUCUUGCCGCUUUAUUGUGGCGUGACCGCGAGAACUUGUCUAAACCUUAUCAUCUAGAGGAAGGUGAAGUCGUAACA